GAUCGGCUCCUCUCCUGGCAGCAGGUCUGCAGAGGCUGCCAGCACCUCAUGCCAUGGAAACGGCUCCGCUCGGCCUGCCAGGCUGGGAGGGCUGGAGGGCGGCGGGUGUUCAUUUGCUGUCAGAAAUAAAUCGUUCUAUUUUUUUGUCA